rnacentral:rRNA from 1 species
UACGUAGGGUGCAGGCGUUAAUCGGAAUUACUGGGCGUAAAGCGUGCGCAGGCGGCUUCUUAAGUCAGAUGUGAAAGCCCCGGGCUUAACCUGGGAACUGCGUUUGAAACUGGGAGACUGGAGUGUGGCAGAGGGGGGUGGAAUUCCACGUGUAGCAGUGAAAUGCGUAGAUAUGUGGAGGAACACCGAUGGCGAAGGCAGCCCCCUGGGUUAACACUGACGCUCAUGCACGAAAGCGUGGGGAGCAAACGGG